AUGCAGGAUCGCACUUGCAAGGAGCCCCGAAGCAAGCGAGAAAAAGGAAACAGGCCAGCUGCCUGCGUUGUUGCACGUACGUACGGACGUACCCCAUGCAUGCACGCCGUCGUACGUACGGUGGCGAGGCCGGCCAGAGAGCCCUGGAGGAUGCCACUAGGCACUAGGCUUAGGCGGGCAAAGCGCGCUACCGAGCAAGUAGACAAACCAAAACAGCAAGGCGAUCAGGGUCGGUCGGCGAUCCACCCAGGCCCAGGCCAGCAAGCAAGCGAUGGGUGUGUACAGCUGCUGCAUGCCUCUGCCCAAAAGAUGCAAUACGCUGCGUGCAUCCCAAGGAGAUAUGGUCGGUCGUGUACUGUGUACUAUGGUUCGUACCAUUGUUCCAUCACCAUUCGUACCAAGCCCCAGGUCAGGUGGACAGCUGGUCAUCAUGCUCCUAGAUUGGUAGAUCACGGGCAGUUUUACGGCCGAUCCGAUGCUGCACAAUGUGCUAGCAUCUAG
rnacentral:rRNA from 1 species